UCUAUAAGCUAUAGAAUAAGAGGUGUGUU
rnacentral:piRNA from 1 species